UGAGCUAUGAGGAUAAAAUUUACACCGGAUAAACUCUGACGACUGUAUACGCUAUUCUGAGCCAUGG